rnacentral:rRNA from 1 species
AGGAGCCAGCCGCCUAAGGUGGGACAGAUGAUUGGGGUGAAGUCGUAACAAGGUAGCCGUAUCGGAAGGUGCGGCUGGAUCACCUCCUUUCUAAGGAA